rnacentral:rRNA from 1 species
CCCUUAGAUGUUCUGGGCCGCACGCGUGCUACACUGAGUGGAUCAGCGGGUCAGGUUGCGCGAAAGCGUUUCCUAAUCUUUAAAUCCGCUCGUGAUGGGGAUUGACGGUUGCAAUUUUCUGUCAUGAACGAGGAAUACCUUGUAAGCGCGGGUCAUCAUCCCGCGCUGAAUACGUCCCUGCCCUUUGUACACACCGCCCGUCGCUCCUACCGAUUGAGUGGUCCGGUGAGGAUUUGGGAUCUGAGCGGAAAGAGCGUUUCGCUGUUUCUGCUCGGAAAACUCAGUCGAACCUUAUCAUUUAGAGGAAGGAGAAGUCGUAACA